ensembl:lncRNA
UUUUUUUUUUUUCCUCUAUUCGUGAUGCUCACUCAACUCACCUCGCCAUAUAUUUAUUGAUCAUAGGUACUGAUUUAUUGGAUCUAAAUACACAUACUCUAUCAUAAAUAUAAAUAUAACAUAUAUUGGAAUUCCCAUCGUGGCGCAGCAAAUCUGACUAGGAACCAUGAGCCAUGAUGGGAACUCCCCUGUACGCAAUUUUAAAUGCAUAAUUUCAAAGGAUUGUUUAAAUGUCCUCAAGACCUAUUCUUAGGAGCAUAGGCAGACUUGGAUUUCUAAGAAGCUUCCCUCUGUGAGUUAGUAAUAAAACAACUGGGCCCUCCUUUUUGGAAUCAAUUGUCUUUUUAUUAUCUCCUCAGGCUGAACCUGGCUGUAAGGUCACACAAUCUUGUUGAAUCAGCUCAAUUUGUUCAUUUAAAGUUUUCGACUGAUGUGAGUUUAAGUGAGAGCAAUUCAGACCUUAUAAGCUGGUCAUGUCCUCAGGUCCCCCUGGCUCUAGAUCACUGCUGGCCCCCUCAACCUGCCCCCCUCCCUACUAUUAUGAGAAUGUUAAUGACCAACCCCUUGACACCGUCUACCUAUUUGUAACUCUCCCGUGUCAGUAUCGACCUUAGAAUGGCAGGGGCUCAGGCAUUAAAAUUCAGGCCCCAUAUAGUCCACCUACUGGUGUAACUAAUGCCCAUUAACCUCACCUGAAAUCAUACAGUUCGGAAAAGGCAGAGAGGAAGCUUCGGUUCAUUUACAGAGUUAGCUGAAGUCCUCCAGGGCAGUACCUACAUUAUCUCAUGAAGCCUACAGUAAACCAAAAGACCAUGCAAAGGCCACAGAAUUUAUUUCUGCUAGAAUUGUCUCCUACUCUACAAGGAGCUAUAAUAGCACAAGAGCAGAGUCUUGAAUAUUUUACAAGAAAAGUUUUCUGCUCACAGUAAUUGAGCUGUCCAAGCUCUCUCCACCUAUCUCCUUUUCUCCUAAAUGUUCCUGCUCUUGAACACGCAAGCAGUUUUUAUGGGUGCAAGUGUGUUUAGGCAUUGAAGAAAAAAUUUCGAAUAAGGAAAAAUAUAAGAAAUAAUACAACAACAACAACAACAAAAAUCCCACAGUGUAUCAACUGAUAGAAAAAUAGCAUGGUCCACUGAAAAUAUUUUAUCUUCCAUGCUUUGGAUUUUUUAUUUUAUAAAAUAAAAAUAGGGCACACUACAAUUUUCUUUGACCAUCGUCCCCCAAUGGAGAGACACCCACUAGCAUGAAUUGCAUGGGGAUACUCUUCCAAUCCAUUUUUUAUACUUGAACAUGCACACAUAACCCAUUAAAAUGUAUACAGUAUGUAUACACACUUAAAAGUUACAUAAAUGGCAUCGUGCCAUAGCAUUCUGCAAGCCUCUAUUUGUCGAUAUUUUGUUUCAGUGAUGUAUAUAUGAUACACAGAGAUCUAGUUGAUUCUUUUUAAUAUCCCCAGGUCACAGGAUAAGUCUGUGUAGAAGAAAUGAAAUAUGAUCAUUCUACUUCCUACGUACAAGAGGCUAGGGACUCUAAAACAUAAUCAGCAUAUAGCAGUGCCCUUGAAAACAAAGCGUCUGCCAGCCAAGAUGUAUCAAAUUAGAAUACUGACUGCAAAUACCCAUCAUGCCCUAGGCUGAGAUACACACGUUAAAGUCAUAAAGAGGUACCUACCAUUACCAAGUUCACAAAUGAACUGGAAAUGCAAACUUAACACUUGAAAUAAAUAAAAGAUAAUGGAGUAGAUUCUUAAGCAUAUUGUUGUGAAGGACAAAAUCAAUUCAGAACCCAGAAGAGAUCACUGUCAACAGAGUUAGUCUUCCUGGAAGAGGCAGUAGUUGAAACAGACAAUGAAGCGUGGGAAAAAGUCCAAAUACCGUAAGAGACUAGGAAAGAUAUUAUGGAUUGGAAACUUUAUGGAAAAAAACAAAAAGCUUAUAGGUUGGAAUAAGUACGGAGCAAUUAGGAUAAUCCUGAAUGGCAGGGAGAAAGCUAUUAGAGGAAAAAGGAGGUAAACAUGUGGAGAAAUCUGAGCACUGAAUGACAGAGUUUAUGCUUGUAUAGUUACCCACAUGGAGCCCAUUAAGGAUCUCCAUGCAGGAUUGGCCCUAACUGUUCUGUCUACAUCUCCCAGAAUAUUCCAGGACCUCUAACAGCCUUGCACCUGUAAACAUACUAGUCCCUCAGCAGGANNNNNNNNNNNNNNNNNNNNNNNNNNNNNNNNNNNNNNNNNNNNNNNNNNCAGGCAGCACCCCUACAAAGCCUUCUUUGACAAUUCGCCCCACUCAGGAUUGGGCUCCCCUUUUCAAACACUCCUACAAGAGCAUGGGCUUCCUUCCAGCACAGAAUUGAUCCAACUGUGUUGUAAUUAUGUGUAGUUGUCUUUCCCAGUGAAUUAUAAAUUCAUUGGGACAAAGAACUUUGACUUAUUAAACUUUUGGGUCCAAAAUGUAGCCCGGCACCUGUUUCACAGAUGCACUCGCUUAGUGUUUAUAUGAAUUAAUACCUUAAAUAAUGAUUAAUCAAAAAAUCAUGGGUAGUCAUGUAAUUUUAUAUACUAUAAAAUAUUUGUAUGUAAAUAUUACCCACUUAGGCUAAAAAAAAAAAAAAUCAUUAUUUUGAUGCCUCUUGACUUUUAGGAUACUUCCCAUGAGAAAAAACAAAUAACUGGGAGCAAAGAAAAUAUUAUGAAAGAUAAGUCAAAGUUCUGUUUGUCUUGCAACUCUUCAAAACUCUAAUCUUUUCAUCUACAGAAAGAAAAACUAUGAGCACUUUGAUGUAACUGACUAUGACACUUCAAUCAUGCCAUCUCCAAAUGGAUAUCUCACCAGCAAACCCCAUUAACAAAUCCCAGGAAAUAAAAAUAGAAUCUGGGUAAUAAAACGGAGUCUAACCUUUCUUUCCUUCGUGCUUGGUUGAGUUUCACUUGCUCACAGGGUGGUCUGAGCAGAGACCUCGCACCAGGGGCUUCAGACCAGAGCUCCUCCUCGUGGCAAGCGGCUGCACCCACCCCUCAGCAUAGCAGGCAAGCUGUGUGCGCAAGCGCCGGGCUCACAGUGAGAUGCAAGAUGGAGGCCUGGGCGCCCGCACCGCGCUUGGAGUGUGGACAGCCCGAGACAUGAAGGGCUCGGCCCCAACUGCUCCCAGCUGAUCGCUAUAAAGCAGCCCUGCCC